UGCAGAAGAAACAGUGGGAGCAAAUAUCCCCCAGGCUGUUUGGCCUGGCUAUGCGUCUUCCUCUCUGGCACAAUGUUAAGCGUGUUUUUAAGCAGCAUUGCCCCUCACUAUCAUCCUGCACACAGUUUCUCAUCUCACCAGGAGCUGCAGGAAGGAGCCUGUUGCACCAAGGAGCAGGGACAGCAAGGGCCCUGCUGGGGUCACUGCCAGAGAUGGCUGGGCUCGAACUCCAGAGCAGGGGUCGGUCAGCUGAGUGGGGCAGCCCAGGCCUCCCAGAACUGCCCCUUGGGUUUCCUGCACACCAAAACUGUCAUCUCUGUCUGUCACAUAGUGGGAUUGUUCACUAACAGAACUGUGAGACUUGGAGGCAGCAUCUCUUUUCCAAGGGAGUGUGAUGAAUUUGCAGUAGGAGACCUGUGGCAGUUGGUGUUUAGCAAGUGCUGUGUGAGGCCGGGGUGACUUGGGAGCUAUUAAUAGUCUCCACUGAGAAGCUCAUAUUGCCUCAAUAACACGGAUCAUUAAUUUUGCUUUUUAAUCAUUAAGAAAAUAGCUUUCAUUGAUGGAAUGUUUGGGACAAAGUCAGAUGUGAGAAAUUUUCCUACUUUUGUUACUCCUGUUGUAUUAGCUAUUAACUAAGUCACUAACCUUGUUGCUAACCUCUUUUUGAUAUUUUAAAGCUGAUGGAAUGAUUAUAUUUGUAUGUAUACCAAUUAGUAUUCUGCUAAAUCAUUAUUUCAAGUUGUAUUGCUUUCUGAGCACUCUGUGUUUGUAUAUGAGAAAUCUGGAGCAAUAAAACAUGCAAUACAAACAAAUUAAAGGAAAUGUUAUGGGGAUUUACCCAAGGCAUUUGUCCUGCCUGAAUACCAGUUCCUAAUGAAAUUAUGAGUAAAAAAGUGGAAAUUA